rnacentral:rRNA from 1 species
GAAUCUUCCACAAUGGACGAAAGUCUGAUGGAGCAAUGCCGCGUGAGUGAAGAAGGUUUUCGAAUCGUAUAACUCUGAUGUGAGGGAAGAACCAGUCCGAGAGUAACUGCUCGUACCUUGACGGUUCCUCACUAGAAAGCCACGGCCAACUACGUGCCAGCCACCGCGGUAAUACGUAGGUGGCAAGCGUUGUCCGGAAUUAGUGGGCGUAAAGCGCGCGCAGGCGGUCCUUUAAGUCUGAUGUGAAAUCCCACGGCUCAACCGUGGAAGGUCAUUGGAAACUGGGGGACUUGAGUACAGAAGAGGAAAGCGGAAUUCCAAGUGUAGCGGUGAAAUGCGUAGAGAUUUGGAGGAACACCAGUGGCGAAGGCGGCUUUCUGGUCUGUAACUGACGCUGAGGCGCGAAAGCGUGGGGAGCAAACA